GCCUUUGGUGCUAUUACUUUGAAGAAAUUAGAGUGCUCAAAGUAAGCUUAUGCUCUGUAUACAUUAGCAUGGGAUAACAUUAUAGGAUUCCGAUCCUAUUGUGUUGGCCUUCGAGAUCGGAGUAAUGAUUAACAGGGACAGUUAGGGACAUUUGUAUUUCAUAGUCAGAGGUGAAAUUCUUGGAUUUAUGAAAGACGAACAAUUGUUCACAUGCAUGAUUUUGCCAUU
rnacentral:ncRNA from 1 species